CAAGUCGGAGGCGCGCGCUGCUGAGCGUGAAUGACAGACGGACGCGCGCGCGGUGUCCCUGCACUCACGCAACUCAUUCGUUUGUCAAGAUAUGUUUGUUGAGAUAUUCUUUGAUGACGCUUUUGUAUUCACGAACUACAGUUUGGAAAUAACUCCUUAACAUCAGUGACAAGUACCUCUCGGGCUUCACAGGAGAAACAACUCCUAAAGUUGGCAAUUCCAAACUACAACGGAGAGCUGUUAGCUUCCAGAAAGAGUUCUUGUUUGAAGAGAAAGACGAGGGAACCAACAAAGAAUUAGAUGUCAGUCUGCUGGGAAAUACAC